UUGUUUAUCAAAAACAUUUCUUUUUCCUAUAAAAAGUAGACUCUGCUCAAUGAAUUUUCAAUAGCCGCAGUAUCCUGACUGUGCUAAGGUAGCAUAAUAAUUUGUCUUAUAAUUGAAGGCUAGAAUGAAAGAGUUUCCGACAUUUUUACUUUCUUAAAAAAAAUUUUUGAAUUUAAUUUUUACGUUAAAAAGCGUAGCUAGAAAAAAGGGACGAUAAGACCCUAUAAAGCUUCACCAAAAUAUAAUUUUAUUACUAAGAAUUUUUUCAAAAAAAAAUUUUGGUUAAGCUGGGGCGGCAAGUAUUGUAACAAUAACUAAAUGUAACAACAAUAGUUGAAAUUAAAGAUCUUGAAAAAAAGGUAGAAUAAGCUACUUUAGGGAUAACAGCACAAUUUUUUCGGAGAGACCUUAUUAAAGAAAAAGACUUGUGACCUCGAUGUUGAAUUGAAGGGCUCUGUUUAAGCAGAAAUAAACAAGAGAAGCUGCUUCGACUUUUAAUCCUUCACGUGAUCUGA
rnacentral:rRNA from 1 species